rnacentral:sRNA from 1 species
UAGCGAUAUGGUACGGUAAGCUCCAC